GAGUUUGAUCCUGGCUCAGGAUGAACGCUGGCGGCGUGCCUAACACAUGCAAGUCGAACGAAGUGCUAUUAAUGAAACUUCGGUGGAUUUAAAAGUAUCUUAGUGGCGGACGGGUGAGUAACGCGUGGGUAACCUGCCUUAUACAGGGGGAUAACAGUCAGAAAUGACUGCUAAUACCGCAUAAGCGCACAGAGCUGCAUGGCUCAGUGUGAAAAACUCCGGUGGUAUAAGAUGGACCCGCGUUGGAUUAGCUAGUUGGUGAGGUAACGGCCUACCAAGGCGACGAUCCAUAGCCGGCCUGAGAGGGUGAACGGCCACAUUGGGACUGAGACACGGCCCAGACUCCUACGGGAGGCAGCAGUGGGGAAUAUUGCACAAUGGGCGAAAGCCUGACCCAGCAACGCCGCGUGAAGGAAGAAGGUCUUCGGAUUGUAAACUUCUUUUAUCAGGGACGAAGUAAGUGACGGUACCUGAUGAAUAAGCCACGGCUAACUACGUGCCAGCCGCCGCGGUAAUAC
rnacentral:rRNA from 1 species